rnacentral:rRNA from 1 species
GGCUGCAGUGGGGAAUAUUGCACAAUGGGGGAAACCCUGAUGCAGCGACGCCGCGUGAGUGAAGAAGUAUUUCGGUAUGUAAAGCUCUAUCAGCAGGAACGAGACAAGACGGUACCUGACUAAGAAGCCCCGGCUAACUACGUGCCAGCAGCCGCGGUAAUACGUAGGGGGCAAGCGUUAUCCGGAAUCACUGGGUGUAAAGGGAGCGUAGACGGCUGAGCAAGCCUGAAGUGAAAGGCGGGGGCCCAACCCCCGGACUGCUUUGGGAACUGUACGGCUGGAGUGCAGGAGAGGUAAGUGGAAUUCCUAGUGUAGCGGUGAAAUGCGUAGAUAUUAGGAGGAACACCAGUGGCGAAGGCGGCUUACUGGACUGUAACUGACGUUGAGGCUCGAAAGCGUGGGGAGCAAACAGGAUUAGAUACCCU